UACGAGGGGGGCGAGCGUUGUUCGGAAUUAUUGGGCGUAAAGGGUGCGUAGGCGGUUCGGUAAGUUUCGUGUGAAAUCUUCGGGCUCAACUCGAAGUCUGCACGAAAUACUGCCGGGCUUGAGUGUGGGAGAGGUGAGUGGAAUUUCCGGUGUAGCGGUGAAAUGCGUAGAUAUCGGAAGGAACACCUGUGGCGAAAGCGGCUCACUGGACCAUAACUGACGCUGAGGCACGAAAGCUAGGGGAGCAAACAGG
rnacentral:rRNA from 1 species